UCUCUUUUAAGUCGUGACGCUGCUUUGCCCACACGACAUCGUACAGGCACACUAUUGGCUAAGAGCCGACCAAUCACAGAGCACGGUGUUCUCUAUCUUCAUCAGCUCCUGUUUACUACAGACGACUUCCAUGUUGGCACUGCUUUUUUUCACAGAAUGUUUGUAUUUCUUUUAAUCCCUAAAAUGUCCUGCGCCUUCCAAAGCUCCUGGCACAAAGGCUAAGCCCCCGAAGAAGUGGUUGACCAUCAAAGAAAAGGUGAACCUCCUCAUUACUAGGGGAAAAGAAGGUAGCUUAGCUACGAGCUACUAUCUACUAACUGCUAUUUCAAAGACAACCCUUGAUUUGCUACAUAAAGGAGGAAAAUAAUCUAAGGACGAUGACAACAACUUUGUUCUCUAUUUGGAAGCGGCCACCGUGAAACCGCCUUAUCAUCAUUUCUCACUUGUUUCCUAUGUCCACUUUGCGCCCGCAGACGCGGCGGCGAUGAUGAAUCUCUGGCUGCUGCGACGUGUCUUCGUUUCUGACAUGUGUGCAAGGACGGGAAUGGAAGAAGUGUCAAAAGAUGGAGCUGUCGACGUCGCCACGGACCAAAAAGGCGGAUGCGCGCAAAUUUUCAGGACUUAUGCAGAUUCCAAAUACAGAUCGGCAGGUACCAGAAGGAGGGAGGAGCCAGGACACUCAGGCCCUGGAGCCAUGAGCCUGAGAGGACAUGGGGAGGUCACUCCAUCUACUGGUGUCACACUCUAAUUCAUCUGUCAGGAGCAACAUGCACACGCACACGCACGCACACACACACACACACACACAUGGACAUAACACACACUACGACUGUACAUACACAAGCUGUUUGGCACGACUGGCAACAACAACACUCAAGACGCUGUAAGAAGUGGAGGUGACUUACCUUGGCGGCUUUUAACAGGAUCUCUCUCUCCUGCUCGUCCUUCCUUUGCUUCUCCAUCCUCUCCAGUUGCUCGAAAAAGCGCAGCUGGGAACGGACGUCCGCCGACUGCUCGUAGCACUCGUCGUCCUGACGGGGGCACAAAGGCGCCAUCAUUGAAACGACCGCAAUCGUGACCUUCUUGACUAUAAGAUCGACCAUGUUCUCUCGACAACAUGUGUCAAACUCAAGGCCCGGGGGGGCAGAUGUGGCCCGCCACUUCAUUUUAUUUGGCCUUCGAAAGCCUGGAAAUAAUACGUAUCAAUAAAGUACUGUAACUUUUCUUACUACCGUAUUUUUCGGACUAUAAGUCGCAGUUUUUUUCAUAGUUUGGCCGGGGGUGCGACUUAUACUCAGGAGCGACUUAUGUGUGAAAUUAUUAACACAUUACCGUAAAAUACCAAAGACUAUUAUUUAGCUCAUUCACGUAAGAGACUAGACCAGGGGUCGGCAACCCGCGGCUCUUUGAUCAGUCUGAUGCGGCUCAGCCGCAUACUUGCCGACCCCCCGCCCGAUUUUCCCGGGAGACUUCCGGAUUUCAGUGCCUCUUUCAGAAAACUCCCGGGAUUAAUCCAUCCAUCCAUUUUCUACCGCUUAUUCCCUUUGGGGUCGCGGGGGGCGCUGGAGCCUAUCUCAGCUACAAUCGGGCGGAAGGCGGGGUACACCCUGGACAAGUCGCCACCUCAUCGCAGGGCCAACACAGAUAGACAGACAACAUUCAC